UACAGAGGUGCCAAGCGUUAGGCGGAAUCACUGGGCUUAAAGCGCGUGUAGGUGGACGGGUAAGUAUCUUGUGAAAUCCCACGGCUCAACCGUGGAACUGCUGGAUAUACUGCUUGUCUUGAGGCACUUAGGGGCAGCUGGAACAAAUGGUGGAGCGGUGAAAUGCGUAGAUAUCAUUUGGAACGCCAAUGGUGAAAACAGGUAGCUGGGGCUGUGCUGACACUGAGACACGAAAGCCAGGGGAGCGAACGGG
rnacentral:rRNA from 1 species